UACAGAGGUGGCAAGCGUUGCUCGGUAUCACUGGGCUUAAAGGGCGCGUAGGCGGUGCGGUACGGUUUCGGUGAAAUCCCUCGGCCCAACCGAGGAACAGCCGGGGCUACGGCCGCACUAGACGGCAUCAGGGGACAGUGGAACUCCCGGUGGAGCGGUGAAAUGCGUAGAUAUCGGGGGGAACACCGGUGGCGAAGGCGGGACUCUGGGCCGAUACUGACGCUGAGGAGCGAAAGCGUGGGGAGCGAACAGG
rnacentral:rRNA from 1 species